rnacentral:misc_RNA from 1 species
GAUGAAGAACGUAGCGAAAUGCGAUAAGUAAUGUGAAUUGCAGAAUUCAGUGAAUCAUCGAAUCUUUGAACGCACAUUGCGCCCGCCAGUAUUCUGGCGGGCAUGCCUGUUCGAGCGUCAUUACAACCAUCAGGCCCCCGGGCCUGGCGUUGGGGAUCGGCGGAAGCCCCCUGCGGGCACAACGCCGUCCCCCAAAUACAGUGGCGGUCCCGCCGCAGCUUCCAUUGCGUAGUAGCUAACACCUCGCAACUGGAGAGCGGCGCGGCCACGCCGUAAAACACCCAACUUCUGAAUGUUGACCUCGAAUCAGGUAGGAAUACCCGCUGAACUUAAGCAUAUCAAUAAGCGGAGGA